AGGGUCCUACGGGACGCAGCAGUUAGGAAUAUUCGUCAAUGGGGGAAACCCUGAACGAGCAAUGCCGCGUGAAGGAUGACGGUCCUAUGGAUUGUAAACUUCUGUUGUUAGGGAAGAACGACCUGUAUAGGAAAUGAUACAGGAGUGACGGUACCUUUCAAGAAAGCUCCGGCUAACUACGUGCCAGCAGCCGCGGUAAUACGUAGGGGGCACGCGUUAUCCGGAUUUACUGGGUGUAAAGGGAGCGUAGACGGAAUUGCAAGUCUGAUGUGAAAAUCCGGGGCCCAACCC
rnacentral:rRNA from 1 species